rfam:Salmo salar isolate Sally breed double haploid chromosome ssa04, whole genome shotgun sequence.
CAAGAUUAGUAUUUUAAGUCGCUCUGGAUAAGAGCGUCUGCUAAAUGACUUAAA